rnacentral:rRNA from 1 species
AUUGAACGCUGGCGGCAUGCUUUACACAUGCAAGUCGGACGAGUGGCGAACGGGUGAGUAAUUUAUCGGAACGUACCGAGUAAUGGGGGAUAACUAAUCGAAAGAUUAGCUAAUACCGCAUAUUAUUCGAUCGGCCGAUAUGGGAUUAGCUAGUUGGUGGGGUAAAGGCUGACCAAGGCGACGAUCAGUAGCGGGUCUGAGAGGAUGAUCAGCCACAGUGGGACUGAGACACGGCCCAGACUCCUACGGGAGGCAGCAGUGGGGAAUUUUGGACAAUGGGCGCAAGCCUGAUCCAGCCAUGCCGCGUGUCUGAAGAAGGCCUUCGGGUUGUAAAGUACUUUUGGCAGGGAGGCGGUACCGGAAUAGAAAGCCACGGCUAACUACGUGCCAGCAGCCGCGGUAAUUC